GUUGCCGCCGGACGGGAUGGGUCAUGAGGGUUGGGGAACCUGUUGAGGGGCUUGUUUCCGAGAGGUGCUUGGGUCCAAGGGAGCCCGGGUGGUUCGUUUCGGCGAAGGAG
ncrna:unclassified sequences Actinomyces-1 RNA